ACUAGACGACGACCGGCGCACGGGUGAGUAACGCGUAUGUAAUCUGCCUUGUACAGAGGGAUAGCCCAGAGAAAUUUGGAUUAAUACCUCAUAGUAUUACUGAAUCGCAUGAUUCGGUAAUUAAAGCUCCGGCGGUACAAGAUGAACAUGCGUGACAUUAGCUAGUUGGUAAGGUAACGGCUUACCAAGGCAACGAUGUCUAGGGGUUCUGAGAGGAUGAUCCCCCACACUGGUACUGAGACACGGACCAGACUCCUACGGGAGGCAGCAGUGAGGAAUAUUGGUCAAUGGACGCAAGUCUGAACCAGCCAUCCCGCGUGAAGGAUGACUGCCCUAUGGGUUGUAAACUUCUUUUAUAUGCAAAUAAACCUACUUUCGUGAAAGUAGCUGAAGGUAGCAUAUGAAUAAACACCGGCUAACUCCGUG
rnacentral:rRNA from 1 species